rnacentral:tRNA from 1 species
GUUUCUACGGUGUAGAGUUGCACAUUAGAUUUUCAUUCUAAAGGAAUAAAUACUAAUUUAUUAGAAAUA